rnacentral:lncRNA from 1 species
GUAGGGUGUACCAUCUAGUUCAGAAGAGAAGAAAGAGUAAAGUUAGGAUUUUGAAGAAUGUGUUUUGAAAUAUAUCAGAUUAUGCCCAUAUGUUUUCAAAUACUUUAUGAUGAUACGUUUUAUGAAAUGCUCUCAACUACGUUGUAUAAAAAUGUAUUUUGUUUUUGGAUUGCUCUUCAUACCAGUACAUUUAUAUUGACCCCCUAUAUUUCAAGAUCUGAGGCUCAGUCCCG